GAAUGUGACCAUAUCAUGCUGAAUGCACUGGUUCUUGUCUGAUCACCAGAGUUAAGCAACGUUGAGCCUAGUUAGUACUUAGAUGGGUAACCGCUUGGGAAACCUAGACGCUGUAAGCA
rnacentral:rRNA from 1 species